UUGUAUCUGGUAGCACAUAUACUAGAAUUGGAACAACGAAGAGAAGAUUAGCAUGACCCCUGUGCUUGGAAGACUCGAAAGGAUGACACACAAAUUUGU
ensembl:snRNA U6 U6 spliceosomal RNA